UACAGGGGGGUGCAAACGUUGCUCGGAAUCAUUGGGCGUAAAGCGCACGUAGGCGGUUCGUUAUGUCGGAUGUGAAAGCCCUUGGCUUAACCGAGGAAGUGCAUCCGAAACUGGCGAGCUAGAGUACGAAAGAGGAUCGCGGAAUUCCCGGUGUAGAGGUGGAAUUCGUAGAUAUCGGGAGGAACACCGGUGGCGAAGGCGGCGAUCUGGGUCGAUACUGACGCUGAGGUGCGAAAGCGUGGGGAGCAAACAGG
rnacentral:rRNA from 1 species